ensembl:lncRNA
CUGAAUUCUGAUCAAAACAGAAAGCAUUCUAGCUGUCUGUCCCAAAUUUCAACAAGUAUGCAAGAUGAGGUGUAUGAAUUACAUUUAUGGUCAGUCUACUUAUAGUCAAACAUAGUUCUGUAGCUGAUCUGAAUAUCAAAAGUAUUAACUGGGAUUAAUUAUUGUCACACACACACACACACACACACACACACACACACAUAUAUAUAUAUAUAUAUAUAUAUCGUUAUGUGCAUCAAAAGAACAAUAUGAUAAGACUUGAAUAAAAUCAAGUGUGUGUCUCUCACCUCUCAUUCCUUGGGAAUUCCCACAGUAUAUAAGAAGUAGCAGGACACAAAGAGAAGACACAGCAAGGAGGAGCACAUUCUCUUCCCACACUGCCUUUACCCUGGAGAUGGUCAGAUCCCCCUCACUAACCCCAGCUCCCCCUCCUCUCUGACUUCCCUCCACUUCCAUCUUCCUCAUUGUAGGCUGAUUUAAUUAAAAAUACCCAGCAGCACCACCCUGGACCUCACCCGCAAGGGUGGGACAUCUAGCUGUGGCACAGGGAGACAUUGUCAUUUACUGCAUGUAGACACACAUUCAAGCUUUCCCAUAGCAGAAGGUAAUCCAUUCCUGACAAACAUGAUGCACUGACCUGACAGGAUGACAUUUCAAACUUUGCUACUCUAUCAAAAAUCAAAAAGCAAUGUGUUGUUUAGUGGACCCUAUCAUAUGUAGUGUGGUCAAAGCUUUUCAGAAUAACUUUUUUAAUGAGCCAAGAAUGCAUGCAGUUUUUAAACCAAAUAUAUAUAUAUAUAUAUUGGCCACAAACUCUUCUCCAUAGACAAUCAAUUUUCUUUCUUAAUCAGUGCAAUGUAAUAUUAAAUUUUCCUUUUUCUGCCCAUUUAAAUUGGUGGCUAAGGCAAGCAGCAUCAUGUCAACUGUAUGUGAGAGUUUUCCAAAUAUAAAUCAACAUAAUUAAUCGGCACUUUUUGUCCAUCUUAGAAUUGUAAGCCUUGUUUGACAGUUCUUGGAUAAUGUCUAAUGAAUGUGGAAUGAGACAAUGGCAAUUAAUUUUGUGAUGAUCUUGCCAUUUGGAAAGGGCGGGUAUUUUGUUUUAGAGGGUGGGAAGGAGUCAAAUCGCAGACAUGUUGCCACGGUGAUAAGGUACUCCCUGCCGCCGUCGGGUCUCGUACAAGCAGGGAGCCAUGGCGACUGGUGGAUAGUGACAGACUAAGUGACAAGUCCACAAGGAUGGUAGGUCAACCUUGAGCUCAAUUCCUCAAACUUCCAUAGGGAUGUCAGGCACUUAAUGUAAUGUUAGCACGAAUGGUGUCUGGUCACCGCUAACUUCCAUUCUGUACAGCGUUUUAAAGUAGAAGUUUGCACAAACGUCACUAGCACACACAAAUUAUCACCAUCACAAUGUUUUAACACACUUUGUAGUACAUUAUUUAAUGUUGCAACUAUCUUUACUUUGCUAAUGUUGAGAUGGAGUUUAUGCCAUGAGACUGCAGUAAACUAACUGGGGUCCCUGAUUCAGUUCCCUGCUGUUUAGGGU